GGCUUUGUAAAAUGUAGUGUACACUGGGAUCAAGCUAAGCUAACUGCAAGCUAGUUAACUACAGCCACACUAAAUGUACGGGUUGCAACGAUUUCCAAAUAGACUUACCACAGUGUUACAUCCUACAUGUAAGGCUGUGUUCUACCUUGCACCAUUGCUGGGCUAACAUUACAGUACAUUUUCUGAUUUAGUAGCCAUGUGGUCAGUUUUCUAACAACAAUGACCAGAAACUGCCAUGUGGUGAAUCAUAAGUGGUUCGGCUUGUUCGUGACUUCAUGUCUUGUUUUGAGGUGUUUUGGUUGAUGUCACGUGACUAAAAUUGGCUAGCUAGUGCAAGCUAACCAACAACUGUUACUAUGGAUGAGAGACAAGUGCUCAUUGUGCCUUAUUUUAUGUUUUCAAAAAAACAUUGGAGACUAAAUAUAGUUGCCAUGUUAUCAACAAUCUAAGCACAUCCCAGUCCGUACUGCCCAAAGUUACGCAGGUGUCCACAUCCCAGUCCGUACUUCCCAAAGUUACGCAUGCGUCCACAUCCCAGUCCGUCCUGCCCAAAGUUACGCAUGCGUCCACAUCCCAGUCCGUCUUGCCCAAAGUUAUACAUGCGUCCACAUCCCAGUCCGUACUGCCCAAAGUUACGCAUGCGUCCACAUCCCAGUCCGUACUGCCCAAAGUUACGCAUGCGUCCACAUCCCAGUCCGUACUGCCCAAAGUUACGCAUGCGUCCACAUCCCAGUCCGUACUGCCCAAAGUUAUGCAAGCGUCCACAUCCCAGUCCGUACUGCCCAAAGAUACGCAUGCGUCCACAUCCCAGUCUGUACUGCCCAAAGUUACGCAUGCGUCCACAUCCCAGUCCGUCCUGCCCAAAGUUACGCAUGCGUCCACAUCCCAGUCCGUCCUGCCCAAAGUUACGCAUGCGUCCACAUCCCAGUCCGUCUUGCCCAAAGUUAUACAUGCGUCCACAUCCCAGUCCGUACUGCCCAAAGUUACGCAAGCGUCCACAUCCCAGUCCGUACUGCCCAAAGAUACGCAUGCGUCCACAUCCCAGUCUGUACUGCCCAAAGUUACGCAUGCGUCCACAUCCCAGUCCGUCCUGCCCAAAGUUACGCAUGCGUCCACAUCCCAGUCCGUACUGCCCAAAGUUACGCAUGCGUCCACAUCCCAGUCCGUCCUGCCCAAAGUUACGCAUGCGUCCACAUCCCAGUCCGUCCUGCCCAAAGUUACGCAUGCGUCCACAUCCCAGUCCGUACUGCCCAGUUACGCAUGCGUCCACAUCCCAGUCCGUACUGCCCAAAGUUACGCAUGUGUCAGUUUUGUAGCUAAACAACCAACCCGUCUAUAUGACUGAAGAGUGAGACAGACAGCUGUUUAAAUGACAUCACUGGAGACUGAGACAGGUUUAAAUGACAUCACUGGAGAGUGAGACAGGUUUAAAUGACAUCACUGGAGAGUGAGACAGGUUUAAAAUGUCAUCACUGGAGAGUGAGACAUGUUUAAAUGACAUCACUGGAGAGUGAGACAGGUUUAAAAUGACAUCACUGGAGAGUGAGACAGGUUUAAAAUGACAUCACUGGAGAGUGAGACAGGUUUAAAUGACAUCACUGGAGAGUGAUAGGACUAAUGCCGCGUUCAAAACUACUGGGAAUUCGUAACAAUACGAGGUCAAACCAUAACGUCAGUGAUCUUCAGGUCGGAAAGUCGGAGCUCUAGAAAGAGGCCCGAGUUGGAUGACCGUUCAAAUCGAUUUCUCCCCAGUCAGAUCUGGUUUAUCGAAUUCCCAGUUGUUUUGAACGCAGCAAAAGUAACAUUGACCUGGCAGGGUUGGUACAUAUUCUACUAACCCUGACCCAGCUUUGAAAAACCCUAACCCUCGCCCAUUUCUGAACAGUCCUAACCCUAACCCUGACCCAGCUCUGAACGGUCCCAACCCUAACCCAGCUCUGAACGGUCUUAACCCUAACCCUGACCCAGCUCUGAACGGUCCCAACCCUAACCCUAACCCAGCUCUGAACGGUCCCGACCCUAACCCAGCUCUGAAUGGUCCUAACCCUAACCCAGCUCUGAACGGUCCCGACACUAACCCUAACCCAGCUCUGAACGGUCCCAACCAUAACCCAGCUCUGAACGGUCCCAACCCUAACCCUGACCCAGCUCUGAACGGUCUCAACCCUAACCCUAACCCAGCUCUGAACGGUCCCAACCCUGACCCAGCUCUGAACGGUCCCGACCCUGACCAUGAACCCAGCUCUGAACGGUCCCGACCCUAACCCUGACCCAGCUCUGAACGGUCCCGACCCUAACCCUGACCCAGCUCUGAACGGUCCCAACCCUAACCCAGCUCUGAACGGUCCCAACCCUAACCCUAAGCCAGCUCUGAAUGUUCUUAAUCCUAACCCAGCUCUGAACGGUCCCAACCCUAACCCUAAGCCAGCUCUGAACGGUCCUAACCCUAACCCAGCUCUGAACGGUCCCAACCCUAACCCAGCUCUGAACGGUCCCAACCCUAACCCAGCUCUGAACGGUCCCAACCCUAACCCAGUUUUGAACGGUCCCAACCCUAACCCUGACCCAGCUCUGAACGGUCCCAACCCUAACCCUAACCCAGCUCUGAACGGUCCCGACCCUAACCCAGCUCUGAAUGGUCCUAACCCUAACCCAGCUCUGAACGGUCCCGACCCUAACCCUAACCAGAGCUCUGAACGGUUCUAACCCUAACCCAGCUCUGAACGGUCCCAACCCUAACCCAGCUCUGAAUGGUCCCAACCCUAACCCAGCUCUGAACGGUCCCAACCCUGACCCAGCUCUGAACGGUCCCAACCCUAACCCUGACCCAGCUCUGAACGGUCCCAACCCUUACCCUAACCCAGCUCUGAACGGUCCCAACCCUAACCCAGCUCUGAACGGUCCCAACCCUGACCAUGAACCCAGCUCUGAACGGUCCCAACCCUAACCCAGCUCUGAACGGUCCCAACCCUGACCCAGCUCUGAACGGUACCAACCCUGACCCAGCUCUGAACGGUCCCAACCCUGACCAUGAACCCAGCUCUGAACGGUCCCAACCCUAACCCAGCUCUGAACGGUCCCAACCCUAACCCUGACCCAGCUCUGAACGGUCCCAACCCUAACCCAGCUCUGAACAGUCCCAACCCUGACCCAGCUCUGAACGGUCCCAACCCUAACCCUAACCCAGCUCUGAACGGUCCCAACCCUAACCCAGCUCUGAACGGUCUUAACCCUAACCCUGACCCAGCUCUGAACGGUCCCAACCCUAACCCUAACCCAGCUCUGAACGGUCCCGACCCUAACCCAGCUCUGAAUGGUCCUAACCCUAACCCAGCUCUGAACGGUCCCGACACUAACCCUAACCCAGCUCUGAACGGUCCCAACCAUAACCCAGCUCUGAACGGUCCCAACCCUAACCCUGACCCAGCUCUGAACGGUCUCAACCCUAACCCUAACCCAGCUCUGAACGGUCCCAACCCUGACCCAGCUCUGAACGGUCCCGACCCUGACCAUGAACCCAGCUCUGAACGGUCCCGACCCUAACCCUGACCCAGCUCUGAACGGUCCCGACCCUAACCCUGACCCAGCUCUGAACGGUCCCAACCCUAACCCAGCUCUGAACGGUCCCAACCCUAACCCUAAGCCAGCUCUGAAUGGUCUUAAUCCUAACCCAGCUCUGAACGGUCCCAACCCUAACCCUAAGCCAGCUCUGAACGGUCCUAACCCUAACCCAGCUCUGAACGGUCCCAACCCUAACCCAGCUCUGAACGGUCCCAACCCUAACCCAGCUCUGAACGGUCCCAACCCUAACCCAGUUUUGAACGGUCCCAACCCUAACCCUGACCCAGCUCUGAACGGUCCCAACCCUAACCCUAACCCAGCUCUGAACGGUCCCGACCCUAACCCAGCUCUGAAUGGUCCUAACCCUAACCCAGCUCUGAACGGUCCCGACCCUAACCCUAACCAGAGCUCUGAACGGUUCUAACCCUAACCCAGCUCUGAACGGUCCCAACCCUAACCCAGCUCUGAAUGGUCCCAACCCUAACCCAGCUCUGAACGGUCCCAACCCUGACCCAGCUCUGAACGGUCCCAACCCUAACCCUGACCCAGCUCUGAACGGUCCCAACCCUUACCCUAACCCAGCUCUGAACGGUCCCAACCCUAACCCAGCUCUGAACGGUCCCAACCCUGACCAUGAACCCAGCUCUGAACGGUCCCAACCCUAACCCAGCUCUGAACGGUCCCAACCCUGACCCAGCUCUGAACGGUACCAACCCUGACCCAGCUCUGAACGGUCCCAACCCUGACCAUGAACCCAGCUCUGAACGGUCCCAACCCUAACCCAGCUCUGAACGGUCCCAACCCUAACCCUGACCCAGCUCUGAACGGUCCCAACCCUAACCCAGCUCUGAACAGUCCCAACCCUGACCCAGCUCUGAACGGUCCCAACCCUAACCCUAACCCAGCUCUGAACGGUCCCAACCCUAACCCAGCUCUGAACGGUCCCGACCCUGACCAUGAACCCAGCUCUGAACGGUCCCGACCCUGACCAUGAACCCAUCUCUGAACGGUCCCGACCCUAACCCUGACCCAGCUCUGAACGGUCCCGACCCUAACCCUAACCCAGCUCUGAAUGGUCUUAACCCUAACCCAGCUCUGAACGGUCCCAACCCUAACCCAGCUCUGAACGGUCCUAACCCUGACCCUGACCCAGCUCUGAACGGUCCCAACCCUAACCCAACUCUGAACGGUCCCAACCCUAACCCAGCUCUGAACGGUCCCAACCCUGACCCUGACCCAGCUCUGAACGGUCCCAACCCUAACCCAGCUCUGAACGGUCCCAACCCUAAACCUGACCCAGCUCUGAACGGUCCCAACCCUGACCCAGCUCUGAACGGUCCCAACCCUGACCCAGCUCUGAACAGUCCUAACCCUUACCCAGCUCUGAACGGUCCCAACCCUGACCCAGCUCUGAACGGUCCCAACCCUAACCAUGAACCCAGCUCUGAACGGUCCCAACCCUAACCCAGCUCUGAACGGUCCCAACCCUAACCCUAACCCAGCUCUGAACGGUCCCGACCCUAACCCUAACCAGAGCUCUGAACGGUUCUAACCCUAACCCAGCUCUGAACGGUCCCAACCCUAACCCAGCUCUGAAUGGUCCCAACCCUAACCCAGCUCUGAACGGUCCCAACCCUAACCCAGCUCUGAACGGUCCCAACCCUAACCCUGACCCAGCUCUGAACGGUCCCAACCCUUACCCUAACCCAGCUCUGAACGGUCCCAACCCUAACCCAGCUCUGAACGGUCCCAACCCUGACCAUGAACCCAGCUCUGAACGGUCCCAACCCUAACCCAGCUCUGAACGGUCCCAACCCUGACCCAGCUCUGAACGGUACCAACCCUGACCCAGCUCUGAACGGUCCCAACCCUGACCAUGAACCCAGCUCUGAACGGUCCCAACCCUAACCCUGACCCAGCUCUGAACGGUCCCAACCCUAACCCAGCUCUGAACAGUCCCAACCCUGACCCAGCUCUGAACGGUCCCAACCCUAACCCUAACCCAGCUCUGAACGGUCCCAACCCUAACCCAGCUCUGAACGGUCCCGACCCUGACCAUGAACCCAGCUCUGAACGGUCCCGACCCUAACCCUAACCCAGCUCUGAAUGGUCUUAACCCUAACCCAGCUCUGAACGGUCCCAACCCUAACCCAGCUCUGAACGGUCCUAACCCUGACCCUGACCCAGCUCUGAACGGUCCCAACCCUAACCCAGCUCUGAACGGUCCCAACCCUAACCCAGCUCUGAACGGUCCCAACCCUGACCCUGACCCAGCUCUGAACGGUCCCAACCCUAACCCAGCUCUGAACGGUCCCAACCCUAAACCUGACCCAGCUCUGAACGGUCCCAACCCUGACCCAGCUCUGAACGGUCCCAACCCUGACCCAGCUCUGAACAGUCCUAACCCUUACCCAGCUCUGAACGGUCCCAACCCUGACCCAGCUCUGAACGGUCCCAACCCUAACCAUGAACCCAGCUCUGAACGGUCCCAACCCUAACCCAGCUCUGAACGGUCCCAACCCUAACCCUAACCCAGCUCUGAACGGUCCCAACCCUAACCCUGACCCAGCUCUGAACGGUCCCAACCCUAACCCUUACCCAGCUCUGAACGGUCCCAACCCUAACCCUGACCCAGCUCUGAACGGUCCCAACCCUAACCCUGACCCAGCUCUGAACGGUCCCAACCCUAACCCUAACCCAGCUCUGAAUGGUCCUGGAGACAAUCACAUGACUGACAAUCAACAGCAUCCCUGCGAUGGUUUACUGACACACAUUUAGUAAGUGUGUGUGUUAGUCUCUCUCUAACCAGGUCUUCGAGAGAGAAGAGGUGUGUGUCUGAGUCUUCAGGGAGGAGGGUCCUCAGCGCCUCAGCCAAUGAAAACAGGUAUUCAGUGUUCCGUCCGCUCGGUCCGACUGCAUCUACAAUCUGAUUGGCUAUCAGCUCCAGGGGGGCGGGACCCAGGUAGUCAGGGUUGUCAUUAGAACCGAUGUAGAGCAGAGCCUGGCUGGGUGCAGGGGGAGUGUCAGCGUGUCGUGUGGGGGUCACGGAGGGUCGGGGGUGAAAGUUCACUGCGAUGACGCGAUAACCGCCCUUCUCCCGGUGGUCAAGGUAACACUUCACUUCCUGCUCUCGGCCAGAUGGCAGCUUAUAUGCCACGCCCCAGACACAACCCUGAGAGAGAGGAGAGAGAGAGAGAAGCCAAGUUAUACCAGCCACGACCUUUACCAAUAAAACUACCAGAGACCAAUCACUGCCAAUAGCAGGAGACACAGGGAGACAUUCAGUGACGAUUGGCGGCGAAGAGCUCGGAAAGUCCCAAAUUUAUCGAAAUUAUCAGCGGCGCAACUGUGCGAUAACUAAAUCAGAGGGAGGGUCUUGCUAGCUAGCUUUGACACUGCACUGGAUAGGCUAGCAG
rnacentral:lncRNA from 1 species